UAUUUAUAUAUACAGGGACAAGAUGGGUUC
rnacentral:piRNA from 1 species